GUUGCGGCUGAGCUCGUGUGCGGCGG
rnacentral:piRNA from 1 species